GCGGCCGGGUGGGGGUGCGGGGUCCAUCCCGGCGGUCACCGAGAGCCAGGCGGGGUCUGUGGUUAUGUCAAGGAAACGUCAAAGUAUCUUCUAUCGUGGACAAGUCAAAUGAACAUAAAGCUGUGGGCACAGGAAAAUGUUUCGAAUUAGCAUCCCGCUGGCAGAAGCAGUUGCAACAUGAAUUCCUUUCUAGCUGGCCUAGCAGCAGCCACCAA
rnacentral:lncRNA from 1 species